rnacentral:tRNA from 1 species
UAGCUCAGUUGGGAGAGCGCCAGACUGAAGAUCUGGAGGUCCUGUGUUCGAUCCACAG